rnacentral:tRNA from 1 species
AGCGGAGUGGAGAAGUAGCAAUCUCGUUGGUCUCAUAAGCCAAAGAUCGCAGGUGCAAGUCCUGCCUCUGCAA